UCAGAAACAAACGAGCCUCUCAUCUUAUCUCCCUGUUUUCAUUUAUCAAAAUAAACAAAACGCAUUUCUGCGUCAAAUUUCGCAAAGAAUCUAAACCGAACUUGAUGAGCAUCACAAAUCUAACACUAACACACAUGAACACCGAUCCUAACCUAAAUCCCAAAUUCCCAAAUUGAAACCUAACAUUCAAUCUGAUGGUAUAUUCAAAGCAGGAAUCGCAACAAGCUUACUCAUUCAACAAAUAUCAAGUUAUUUAUGCAUUACGGUAAAAGUCGAAACACCGAUUCAAUACUGAGUGAAUAACAAACAUGUCAGAGAUUUCAGCAUGAAAUGAGUAAAUGUGGAAGAAGAAAUACCGACGGAAGGAAAUCUGAAGCUUUCGACUUCUUGAACUCCGCUGACUCUUCGAGCGAAAAUCUCUCCAAGUCCCCGGUAAGCUCCGUUCUGUUUCUUUUCUCGCCUUUCUUCGUUUUCCUUCACUGACUUCGGGGUAUCUUGGCUUUGUAGUGGCUUCAGCUCAGUUUUCUCAAAGUUCUAAUGAUGAACUUUCAGCGAACUUUGGGAGUAUUGAGCUUUGGUGAAUGGGUGUGAGGGAAAUCUCAGCAGAGUAACGGUGCAAGGAUUAGGUUCCCUUUCCGAUGACUCUCACCAUCUAUUUAUAGAGCCUUCUCCUAGGAUCCUUAAAUCAUGAGCUGUCAAAUCUAUCCAAAAUCAUUCCGUUAGAGAGGAAUUUUUCGCUGGAUUUUGUGGGGACCAAAGUUUUGCUCCUUUUGGUACAGGGUGGUUGAUAGAACUUAUGGACAGCUCUGUCAUGAUUUCAUAAGAAGGCGAGAAAGUAGGUUGAGCCAACCUUAAAGCUUCCCUUUCAAACGUUACAGAUUGUUGGGACAUGGAUGAUGCUUGCGAGGUUAUGUAUUCCACAGAACUACAGGUCUCACGGCAUGGUAAAGGUGGCUUGUAGACUGACAACAUGGUAACUUGCAGUUAAUGCUAUUAGGAUCAUUGUCUUGACGCAGGGCACGUAACCUUCAUACCUGUUAUCAUCUUUAGACCAAUUCCUUUUGAAGGCACGAAAUGUUCUUUUUUUUCAGUUUACUAAAACCUCAACAUCCGCCACAAUGAUCAAAACUUGGACACCAGGUUCUGUUUUAAGACCAUUCUUCUUAUCACAGUCGAUUUUGUUGAACUUUUAAAUUCUUUGUAACGUGACUGGGUUAUUUUCUGUUGUUUGGUAGGGGCCUUGGGUACAAGUCUUAUCAUCAUCCUUCAACCUGCGAGUUCUUAUCGUCUCCAGUUUUUUCGGCACCAAGUGAUUUUGAAGUGGAACAGAAAGCGUUGGAAAAUUUCCU